ensembl:lncRNA
GUGGAUGGAGGCAUAGAGAGAUGGAGGGAUAGAGGGUAUAGAGGAGUGGAUGGAGGCAUAGAGGGUAUAGAGGAGUGGAUGGAGGCAUAGAGAGAUGGAGGGAUAGAGGGUAUAGAGGAGUGGAUGGAGGCAUAGAGAGAUGGAGGGAUAGAGGGUAUAGAGGAGUGGAUGGAGGGAUAGAUGGUAUAGAGGAGUGGAUGGAGGGAUAGAGGGUAUAGAGGAGUGGAUGGAGGGAUAGAGGGUAUAGAGGAGUGGAUGGAGGGAAGGAAGGUAUAGAGAGAUGGAGGGAUAGAGGGUAUAGAGGAGUGGAUGGAGGCAUAGAGAGAUGGAGGGAUAGAGGGUAUAGAGGAGUGGAUGGAGGAAUAGAGGGUAUAGAGGAGUGGAUGGAGGCAUAGAGAGAUGGAGGAAUAGAGGGUAUAGAGGAGUGGAUGGAGGGAUAGAGAGAUGGCGGGAUAGAGGGUAUAGAGGAGUGGAUGGAGGGAUAGAGGGUAUAGAGGAGUGGAUGGAGGGAUAGAGAGAUGGAGGGAUAGAGGGUAUAGAGGAGUGGAUGGAGGCACAGAGAGAUGGAGGGAUAGAGGGUAUAGAGGAGUGGAUGGAGGCAUAGAGAGAUGGAGGGAUAGAGGGUAUAGAGGAGUGGAUGGAGGGAUAGAGAGAUGGAGGGAUAGAGGGUAUAGAGGAGUGGAUGGAGGCAUAGAGGGUAUAGAGGAGUGGAUGGAGGCAUAGAGAGAUGGAGGGAUAGAUGGUAUAGAGGAGUGGAUAGAGGGAUAGAGGGUAUAGAGGAGUGGAUGGAGGGAUAGAGGGGAUAGAGGAGUGGAUGGAGGGAUAGAGGGAGGGAUAGAGG